rnacentral:lncRNA from 1 species
GGCAGAGACAGGAAUGAAGUCUAAAGAAGCCAGAAAAUACAUUUUCAACAGUCUGGAUGAUGUAGCGCAUGUGAACACAGUGAUGGAUUUGGAAGGAAGUGAUCUUUUGGCUGAGAAAGCUGAUAGAAGAGAAUUUGUUAGUCUGUUGAAGAAAAUGUUGCUGAUUGAUGCAGAUUUAAGAAUUACUCCAGCUGAGACCCUGAACCAUCCUUUUGUUAAUAUGAAACAUCUUCUAGAUUUCCCUCAUAGCAACCAUGUAAAGUCCUGUUUUCAUAUUAUGGAUAUUUGUAAGUCCCACCUAAAUUCAUGUGACACAAAUAAUCACAACAAAACUUCACUUUUAAGACCAGUUGCUUCAAGCAGUACUGCUACACUGACUGCAAAUUUUACUAAAAUCGGAACAUUAAGAAGUCAGGCAUUGACCACAUCUGCUCAUUCAGUUGUGCACCAUGGAAUACCUCUGCAGGCAGGAACUGCUCAGUUUGGUUGUGGUGAUGCUUUUCAGCAGACAUUGAUUAUCUGUCCCCCAGCUAUUCAAGGUAUUCCUGCAACACAUGGUAAACCCACCAGUUAUUCAAUAAGGGUAGAUAAUACAGUUCCACUUGUAACUCAGGCCCCAGCUGUGCAGCCACUACAGAUCCGACCAGGAGUUCUUUCUCAGACGUGGUCUGGUAGAACACAGCAGAUGCUGGUGCCUGCCUGGCAACAGGUGACACCCCUGGCUCCUGCUACUACUACACUAACUUCUGAGAGUGUGGCUGGUUCACACAGGCUUGGAGACUGGGGGAAGAUGAUUUCAUGCAGCAAUCAUUAUAACUCAGUGAUGCCGCAGCCUCUUCUGACCAAUCAGAUAACUUUAUCUGCCCCUCAGCCAGUUAGUGUGGGGAUUGCACAUGUUGUCUGGCCUCAGCCUGCCACUACC